GACGAACCGUGCGACCGUUAUUCGGAAUCACUGGGCUUAAAGGGCGCGUAGGCGGGUCAUCAAGUCCGGGGUGAAAUCCCACGGCCCAACCGUGGAAGUGCCUUGGAUACUGGAGACCUCGAGGGGGAUAGGGGCGUGCGGAACUCAGGGUGGAGCGGUGAAAUGCGUAGAUAUCCUGAGGAACACCGGUGGCGAAAGCGGCGCGCUGGAUCCCUUCUGACGCUGAGGCGCGAAAGCCAGGGGAGCAAACGGG
rnacentral:rRNA from 1 species